CCCGGGCUCAACCUGGGAACUGCAUUCGAAACUGGCAGGCUAGAGUCUUGUAGAGGGGGGUAGAAUUCCAGGUGUAGCGGUGAAAUGCGUAGAGAUCUGGAGGAAUACCGGUGGCGAAGGCGGCCCCCUGGACAAAGACUGACGCUCAGGUGCGAAAGCGUGGGGAGCAAACAGGAUUAGAUACCCUGGUAGUCCACGCCGUAAACGAUGUCGAUUUGGAGGUUGUGCCCUUGAGGCGUGGCUUCCGGAGCUAACGCGUUAAAUCGACCGCCUGGGGAGUACGGCCGCAAGGUUAAAACUCAAAUGAAUUGACGGGGGCCCGCACAAGCGGUGGAGCAUGUGGUUUAAUUCGAUGCAACGCGAAGAACCUUACCUGGUCUUGACAUCCACAGAACUUUCCAGAGAUGGAUUGGUG
rnacentral:rRNA from 1 species